rnacentral:tRNA from 1 species
GUAUUGUAGUAUAAAGGUUAGGGAAGUGGUCUUGUAAUCUAAAGGUCACAGGUUCGAUUCCUGGGUAAAACA